AAUGCACCAAUUUGUAAGUCGCUCUGGAUAAGACCAUCUGCUAAAUGACUUAAA
rfam:Salmo salar isolate Sally breed double haploid chromosome ssa15, whole genome shotgun sequence.